UUUACAUUUUUGGGUGAACUGUCCCUUUAACUUGUAUUGAACCCAGACUAUUCCUUUAAAUAUCUAAAUUUAUCUUUGGAUUGUGCGUAAUCCAACAACAAAAUUCUAAUAUUUCAAGUUCUUGUAGUGUCUACUUAUUAUAUUGUAUAUUAGAGUCCCAUAUUUAAAAAUUGCUUGAAUUAGGAAAAUGUUAACAUGACUAUAAAUGAAUGGCUCCAUACUGGCUUUUUGGAGCCUUGUUUAUGGAUAAUAUAAAGACUUGUAAAUGAAUAAAUCAUUAGGAGUUAUGUCCCCCCAUCUGUUAGAGCCUGGAGCCCCUCCUCAUGUACUGCAGAUGUUUAUUCUAAUACCAUAAUAACAGGAGGAUCUGCUGGCACUGAUGUUAUGCACAGAAAAUAUAAAAAGCAUUUUGUUACAUACAAAUUGUGUUAAUAUAGUGGAGCGAAAAGGUCUUUGAGCAAAAAUGUGGGAUGCAAAUUUGAAUUUAUGGGGUAUCCAAGAGACUGCUCUGCUGUAGCCGUUAUCUAUUGCUGGGGUCAUUUUCCAUUGCACCAACCUUCCUGUUCUACAUGCAAGUGUCUUCAGUUGAUGACAACCAGCAAUUAUGGGGCCAAGCACGGCCCACACCAUUUUUGAGGAAUUAGACCAGAGCUUUACACAAUGUACCACACAAACUACAGUCAUGUCCAUUGCCAAAGAGAUAUAACAAGUUGUGAGUCAGCACGCAAAAGCUUUGCAGAGAAAUCUCUUGCUGCUACAGUCAAAUGGUUUUGAAUACAAACAAUCAAUGUGAGAACUUUUUUCCAAUAACACCUACCAAGCUUUGCUUCAAUAGGACAAAGAGUUGCAUAGAUACACUCCACGUCCACACUAACAAGUUUUAGUUUGAAAACGCAUUGAUUUUGCUAUAUUAUUUAGUUUUUUACUUGCUUCAAAUUUGUAAGCGUGUACUUUUGUAGAGGCUGUGGAAAUAAAAAAUCCAU